CCUACGGGGGGCAGCAGUGGGGAAUAUUGGACAAUGGGGGCAACCCUGAUCCAGCCAUGCCGCGUGUGUGAAGAAGGCCCUCGGGUUGUAAAGCACUUUCAGUGAGGAAGAACGCCUGGUGGUUAAUACCCAUCAGGAAAGACAUCACUCACAGAAGAAGCACCGGCUAACUCCGUGCCAGCAGCCGCGGUAAUACGGAGGGUGCGAGCGUUAAUCGGAAUUACUGGGCGUAAAGCGCGCGUAGGUGGCUUGAUAAGCCGGUUGUGAAAGCCCCGGGCUCAACCUGGGAACGGCAUCCGGAACUGUCAAGCUAGAGUGCAGGAGAGGAAGGUAGAAUUCCCGGUGUAGCGGUGAAAUGCGUAGAGAUCGGGAGGAAUACCAGUGGCGAAGGCGGCCUUCUGGACUGACACUGACACUGAGGUGCGAAAGCGUGGGUAGCAAACAGGAUUAGAUACCAUUGUAGUC
rnacentral:rRNA from 1 species